AUUGAACGCUGGCGGCAGGCCUAACACAUGCAAGUCGAGCGGAUGAAGGGAGCUUGCUCCUGGAUUCAGCGGCGGACGGGUGAGUAAUGCCUAGGAAUCUGCCUGGUAGUGGGGGAUAACGUCCGGAAACGGGCGCUAAUACCGCAGACGUCCUGAGGGAGAAAGUGGGGGAGCUUCGGACCUCACGCUAGCAGAGGAGCCUAGGUCGGAUUGGCUAGUUGGUGGGGUAAAGGCCUACCAAGGCGACGAUCCGUAACUGGUCUGAGAGGAUGAUCAGUCACCGUGGAACUGGGACACGGUCAAGGCUACUACGGGAGGGACCAGUCGGGAAUAUUGGGCAACGGGCGAAAGUCUGAUCCAGUCAUGCGGAGUGUGUGGAGAAGGUCUUCGGAUUGUAAAGCCCUUUAAGUUGGGAGAAAGGGCAGUAAGUUAAUACCUUGCUGUUUUGACGUUACCAACAGAAUAAGCACCGGCUAACUUCGUG
rnacentral:rRNA from 1 species